UACUCUAAGUGUGCAGGUGUGCGUGGGGGUGUGAGUGAGCGCGAGAGGCCGCGCCCUCACUUCUGCUUCUCUCUCCCUUCCGCUGCGCCCGUGACUGUGGCUGCGGGCGCGGGUAAAGGUAGGAGGCGCGGGCGGCGAAGGCAGGGUAGGUGGUGGCGGGUGAGGGAGCGGGGCGAGGGGCAAGGCGACGGAGCAGCAGCUGACGCCGGCUCGUCUCCUCCUUUUCGCUCGCUAGGCACCCUCCCUGCCUCCCUCGUCGCAUGCCUGUCCCUGUCAUCGCGCCCCUAGUCCGGACGCAACGCUCACCAACUCUAAGCACGAUACCCGCCUAAGAGACGCCGAUGUCGCCGCCUCGCCACGCGGCAGCCCUAGGUGCGCAGGGGCAGGAGCGGCCGCGGAGCGGGCGCCAGCAGCGUCGCCGGCGACGGGCAGGCGGCGCGGCGGCGGAGGAAGCGCCAGAGGGCGGCGUCGGAGGAGCACGGGGCUCGGCAGCGGCGCGGGUGGCUGGCGCGGAGGGGCCUUCAACAGCCUUCCAAGUUCGACCUCAGGUUGAGGCUCGAGGUCCACUGAGACUUGGGUCGCGGCGUCCCACGCCAGCGGCUCUAGUUAGAGGUCCGCUGGUUGUGGUCGCCGAGGGACCAAGACGUAACCCCGCGGGAGGCGGGCCUAUCCUCUCUUACCGAGGAGGGCAGGGCUUCUGGGCUACCUUGCUGUCACAUGUUCUUGUUCCGGGAGUCCAGUGGAAAACAUUUCAGUCCACUGUUAAGGUGCGACUCUUAACUCUAUCUACUAGGGCGCCAAGUUCGGUAGCUCAAGGAGCACAAGCUGCUCCGUGCCUUAUUUACCAAAUUUUUGUUACCGGUCUUAAAGGAUUAGGUUGAGGUCUGUUCGGUAUUACUCCCCGUUCUACGUGGACCACGAAGACGAAGACGAUAACACCACGGUCUCCUAGAACACGUCUAGGUUAGCAUGGAAGCAACCCUUUCCUUGCCUUUCGUCAGAAUAUGUCGACUGGUUCUCUUCCACCUCAUACUUCGUCGUGCUCGUCUCAAUUAUCUCCUUAAUUUGUCUCCACAAGGUGACCUCUUCGACGCUCGAUCUAAUUGUUUUUGUGGGCUCAGCUCACCUUCACUACGAGGACGUAGAGUUUGAUGGUAUUGGUCACAGGGUCUCCUUGAACAUGUUCAGGUCCGAAUGGAUUCUACCCUCUUUCGACCGUUCGGUUUAAUAAGGGGUCUCUUCGUUGACCAACUCAAACUCCUUCGUUCCUUCCUUGACGUCCGACUCAACCUAUUACCUCGGAGUCAACUAGUUAAUUCCUUCUUUUAACACUUUCCUUUGGAACUUUUCUUUCAAAGGUUCGUUGACCUCUUCUUCUUCAUGAAGAGUCAUCUUUCCUAAGUCGCGUCUUUGUCUCUAUAGUGCGUUGAAGAAUUAUUUGUAUUCGGACACCAAUGUCUUGUCGUUCAUUUUCGACGUGGGUUUGUCGGUUGACAAAACCUAGAGAAGUGUUUCAGGAACGUUCUCCCCCUAUUGACACUGCAGGAUUCGUCCUUCGAAAAGUUCUAGCCACUACUCCUCUAUGACCGUUAACGGUGUUUACGAGAUCCAUUUUGGUCUCAAGUGAACCGUUGUUUGGCAUACCUCGGUGAAUAAGAAGUGACCCGUGACCGUUUUUUAGGGCCUCUUACCCUCCGUGGAGGAAGAUCGUAUCACGGAAGACCGAGUUGUCAAGAGCUGUUCCGUACACUUUGAAGUAAGCCACUCAGACUUAACCUACCAAACGUUAUGGUCCAACAACUCUAUCUCGAACUACUGCCGUCUAUGUUCCCCUACGGGAAACAAGAGGCCGCACCACUUUGUACCUAUUUCUUGUUGCUGAGACUGAAGAUAAACCUAAAGUUGUGGUUUCAAUGGUUCUUUAGUUUCCUAUGCCCACUACGGCCAUUUCCGUGGCGUUUCCUAAAGGACCUUUCUUAUCGUCUAGACCUCCUUCUACGGGUCGCUAGAAAAUACGUGUCUAAAUUAUAACGCCGCCUAGAUCAACUGGUUCGGUCUCUACGACCUGAUAACCCAUAGCAACCUGAAAAACAAACCUAAUCUAAGUACAGAUGGUCCGUUGAUUAUACCUUGUUCUUGAUGUUACACUUUGGUGCACUCUAUUCGGUUCGUGUUCUGUCCAAAUGUCUACUGGAACUCUUAUACAUGUUUUCAAUGGGUGUCAUGUCUCUCUAGAAUUCUUACAAUAACAGACGACAACCAGCACCUCCACUUCCACUACAACCAGUCGCAUAGGCACUACUCUAUAAUCAUUAGGUCUCUUUAUUACUGACGUUUCCACCUUAAUACCUUCUUACCGUGGUCUUUGACGUGUUGUUAUGUUCGGGUCUACUACAUCAGUAUACGGUCCGCUAUUAACUAAUAUAGUUCUCGCUAAAGCUAUAGUUGCAAAUGACCCUGUGGAACUUGUUUUUACCGUAUUGGUUUCUUGCUGACAACUCGAUACUAGCACGUUAAGUAAGUCUUGGUUUUAAGUCCUCACUGGUCUUUCUCCCCAAUGAGGCACUAAACCCGUUGAUAUACUCUUCGGACUUCCGACACGUGAGACCACGACUAGAACUCAGACGAUAACGCUGUACAUACCCUAUGUUUAGUCUCCCACUUCCAAAGUACCAACCACAAGUUUAGUUGGGCCACUUACCAAAUAGUAGACCAAAAGGACUAAACGAAGUUAAACACGAACUGGUACAACUCCUAUUUAGUCGUCUCGGUGAAGAACUCCCCAAUAACCUCCGAGCACAACUUGAUGCGGGAAACGAGUGACCGAGUAGACUUGCGAACUUCCUAGAAUAGAAAAACCUGUAACGAGAACUAAGAUGAAAGUCCUGUCGUCAACUUUCCAGCAUACUCCUCGACUUACUACGUCGUGGCCUCUUUUAAUACAUGAAGUAGUCAGAACAAGAACUUUUAGAACGGAACAGGUGACUGCUGUUGCUUCUGUAGAAUAUAACGAAUUUCCCUACCUUAGCUCGGUACCUGUACCAAUUCGUUUUCCUACUGGUUACCCGAGAGAUGCGAUUUCGUAAAGAACUGUCUUGGUCUGAACGGGAACGCUCGUUCCCGCUUGUUAUGAUGUUAUACUACGUCGGGAGCCGACUUAUAGAACCGAGUAAUGAGUUGCAACUCCUUACCCGACAACUGUAGAAGUGUCUUCUUCAUUAAGCACCACCUAGUCGACGGUGAAAUAGACGAGAAGACUUGGCUAAACUGGGACAAGAGUCUUUACAGCGUGUGGAACCUUCAACCGUCCAAUAAUCGGGUCAACUUCAUUGUCCAAUAUAACAUCACCAACUAUUCAACGAAAGACAAGUUUUGUUUUGAAUACUAUUUGGUUGUUAGGAACACCGUUUCUCACAGUUCCCUCUCCUUCUUUAUGGUCUACCACAACAACCGCACUAUUGUGGACUAUACGGUCUACAAGACAGAGUACACAGUCAAGCUCGUUCCUUAACGUUCCACAACAAACGCUGUACGAAACUGGGCUUAUGGGACAGACUUAAAGUUCCUGUACUUCCCUUCCACAAAAGGAAGUUUUGAUGAAGACGUCUACAGUGGAUGUCCCUCCAUAGCCUGUCACUUGAAUACGUCAGUUCAAGAAGUCUACGUGUUCCACCACUUCGUUAUGGUAGAAAUAGUAAUCAGUUCUUUUUCAAGGAACCUUUUAUACGUUAUAGUCGCCUUCUCAAGAGACUACUUUACCAACCUCGUUUCAGGGCGUUGUAUCGUAUGGACUUUCCUUUUCAUGGAAGUACCCAACCAUAGGGUUGUAGUCAACGCUAUGGUAAACCCUGGAAACUCUUCUAUAACAGACUACUCUGGUUAUUCCUUCAUCGUGUUUUGUAUGUCUACGACUUCCCGUCUGAACGAGUUCUUCUAAAAUCACGAGAUCCUCUUUAGGCCUUUUGACAAGAAUUAGAUUGACGAGGUUGAGUUGGCCAAUUCCUCGACUUCCUCUUCUACGAUUCGAGGCCUUACGGGACCGGACCUCUACUUUCACUGGUGGCAACCCUCGUUCGUACCUACCGUUAAUUUUUCCAAACCCGUAGUUUUACCUUACUUUCUCGUAUGAAAUCAUGUGCGUUCCACUUCGAGCUAGUACUCAUGGAAAGGUACCGACAAGAACAUGUUCUUUAACAGUUGCGUCUGAUACGGAAACAGUAAGUAUGAUGCUUGGGCAGUAGACCUCUAAGAAGACUCUAUAUACGACUUCACCACUUUCCUGAACCUCUCUGUGAACACCCUCGAAUAGGACCGGCACGGUACUCGAAGCACACAUUCUUUCUACUGGAACUGAGAGGGUUCCAUGACCCAAUGGGAUCGUUCGGUUAACCAGAGAAGUAUUUCGCCAGUUAGUAGAAGGCGAGUCUGAGAUUACCACUCCUAGACCUUCCAAUGCGACCUCGUCCCGACAUACUAUCACAGGGAUACCUACACCUUCUACUUCAACAUGAGCUGAUGUGCUGGCUGGGAGAGUAGUGACUGAGACCUAAGGCCUUGAGUUAGGAGAGUUCGUAACGUGCCCGACCGGUGCGGUAGCUCCUCGAGAUACCCAGUGGUGUCCUACAACUCCCUCAUCACUUCCUACCCUUCUAGAUGCAUCAGGUCUGUUCUGGUGUCUACAUUAUACAUACAUAUGCGCCGAGUUCAACAUCUCAUCAUCCUAUAUACCAGGAACGACCGUACAUAUCAACAUGAGUAUCCACGUGUUGUGUAGAUGCAACAAUAAAUAAACGUAUAUGCGAGUCUUAUUCGAAACUAGUGUAUGACAUAAAGGAUCUCAUGGUCUUUCACAUACAUGCUAGUCCUUAUACUGGAAUAAUUUUGGUAACUCCCCUUUACAAAACUGAAAACUCGUUAGAUAUAAAUGUGCACGUCAAUAUUACAUUUAUAGUCGUCAGACGAACGAAAAACCAGGAGAGGAAAUACGGGUUGUCGAUCUUCCAUACUUUUUUAGGACAUUUAUAGACAAGAGACUUUUACUGUCGAAGAACAUGAGCAGUCGUCGUUUAUAGGCUUCUCUCAAAUAGGGGUCAACGGGUCCUCAGUGUCGGAGUGUCCGUGUCCUUCUUGUUGGACUCCACUCUUUACCGUCCCAAGAAGCCGUGGACACGACGAAGACUAGUGAUAACAAACGUCGAGUCUAGACCUAGUCGAGUGGUACUUGACUAAUCUGGUUUGUUCAUGUCUUCCUGGUACUAGUCCACGACGUCGUGUCGCUUCCCCUUCUGUUCUUCCCUGAUGAAGGUCCAAGAACCUCAUCGUUGAGUAAGGUGUGGAGUCCUCUAGUUCCUUCGAAUGUCCUUUGAGGUCUUCGUUGUGGUAGGACUAUAACGACCGCUGUUCCCGGUACUGGUGCGCGAUAACGACUUACUCCGCAUACUCCACAACUACUCCUCAAGUAGGUCCUUUCGACUACCUAAACCGUUCUCGUCUCCGCCGAAACCCUCGCCAAUGUGGCCCCUGCCUAUGUCAAGAACCUUACCCGGAUAGUCCUCGGUCCGAGAGAAGCACCUACUCUUGUUUACGUAUCCUACAUCCCUCACACAAGUGGUACGACCCCUCUGCAAACGGUACCUGCUACAAGAACCUUCACGCGUGCAGCUUCAGGUCAAACCGCUGCACCUCGUCGUCUAGGUCCACCGACACCUCAGAACGGGACACUUGACGUAGGUGACCCAACCCUCACUUCUCGAGGGCCACGACCUCAAGUACCGCGCCGGUGUCGCGUUCCUUCCCGUGCCGCAUAAGCCGCCGCCCACCCUCUCCGGGUUCCUGCACAAGCGCCGCCGGUCCUUGAAGCGGUUCUUUGAGCUCUCCGUCCUCGUCGUCCUUUCAAGGUCCCCGCGUUUGCCCCCACUUCUACACCUCCGACUUUGCCGUCGCGUCCGGCUUCGCUCUGCGGUGCGCCCCGUCCUCGAUGCCACCUUCUCAAACAAGCUACAAACCUUACCCAACCCUCUGACCUCCUUUAGGCCUUGUCUGUCCAUCUACACGUUACCGAUCAGCGACCAAGCACUACCACACUUCUGACGUUGGUGUGUGACUACAACAUGCUGCACGACAUUAUGGACCCUAUAUCCUCAUUCUACCUUCUACUGUGUCUUGUUGAAAAAAGAAAAAAAAACUCUUAAGAGCGGGGUGAAAAAAAUAAGUUGUUUUACAGGUAUCCAUGUUACAAACCUAGUACUCCAAAGGGGUUGGUUUAUACUGCAGGAUACAGUCCCACCUGUGCCAGGCCAGGCCAGGGACUGGCUCGGAAGCAAACCUGGCCGGCGACCGCCAGGCCUGGCUCGUCCCCUCGCCAGGACAAAGGCCCCUGGCCUGGCCGCCGCAGUUUCGGGCCCGGUCUGGCUCACCUGGCUUACCUGGCCGAUCGUGCUGGUCGCAGGUACACACGCCAACGACGCCGCUCCACCGCAUGCACGCGAUGACGACGCUACUUCACCUGCUGCACGCGCUCGCGACUGGACGCGCUCUUAACUGACUGUUGACUUUCAAACUGCUUUGACUGCUUCACCUAAAAGACUUAGACUGACAACCUUAUGGGGAUGUUCUGGCCGUGAAGACUUAGACUGACAACCUUAUGGGGAUGUUCUGGCCGACGUGGUUGCACUCUAACAGAGUGCAUCGAGAGAGAGAGGCAUUGUUGAUCAGGAGCAGAGAUCACGUACUUGACGUACUAGAGUACUCGAAUAGAUCUACUCAAUCAAUGCCUCCAACACAACCGCGUCACCGGCGUGGACGGCUGGAUGCACGAGGAAAAGAGACAUAUAGAC
rnacentral:rRNA from 1 species